GUUGCAAUUAUCGAAAACAAAAACAAACAGAAAAGAUAGCGACAGUUUAUAAUAAAUUCAGAAUAUUUAGGACGUUUAUUUGAAAAUUAAAAGUGAAUUCAACAUUUGGAAUACGUAUUUGGAAGUAGGAGUUUCUUGGAUGGAUAAAUAACGGCGGCAGUAGAUUGGCGGAUUGAGAAGUUUAGGAGGAAUGUAAACCAAAUAUUUUUGAGCUGCUACUGAAGUAAAGCUGCUACAGAAAUUGGUUUGAUCAUCCGAACA